rnacentral:tRNA from 1 species
GUCCCCGUAGCUCAGGCGGAUAGAGCACCAGAUUCCUAAUCUGGGGGCCACAGGUUCAAGUCCUGUCGGGGACGCCA